UCCCUGGAGGACUAGUGGUUAGGCCACAGUGCUCUCACCGCUGCAGCCCGGGUUGGAUCCCCCACCAGGGAA